UGAGGAAUAUUGGUCAAUGGGCGCAAGCCUGAACCAGCCAUCCCGCGUGAAGGAAGAAGGCGCUAUGCGUUGUAAACUUCUUUUCCAGGGGAAUAAAAUUCUGUACGUGUACGGAAUUGAAGGUACCCUGGGAAUAAGCAUCGGCUAACUCCGUGCCGGCAGCCGCGGUAAUACGGAGGAUGCAAGCGUUAUCCGGAUUUAUUGGGUUUAAAGGGUGCGCAGGCGGAGUAGUAAGUCAGUGGUGAAAACCUGCAGCUUAACUGUAGAAUUGCCGUUGAUACUGCUGCUCUUGAGUAUGGUCAAGGUAGGCGGAAUGCGUAAUGUAGCGGUGAAAUGCUUAGAUAUUACACAGAACACCGAUUGCGAAGGCAGCUUGCUGGGCCAUUACUGACGCUCAUGCACGAAAGCGUGGGGA
rnacentral:rRNA from 1 species